GCACUUCGGGAUAAGCCUGGGAAACUGGGUCUAAUACCGAAUAGGACCAUUUAGCGCAUGCUUUAUGGUGGAAAGCUUUUGCGGUGUGGGAUGGGCCCGCGGCCUAUCAGCUUGUUGGUGGGGUGACGGCCUACCAAGGCGACGACGGGUAGCCGGCCUGAGAGGGUGUCCGGCCACACUGGGACUGAGAUACGGCCCAGACUCCUACGGGAGGCAGCAGUGGGGAAUAUUGCACAAUGGGCGCAAGCCUGAUGCAGCGACGCCGCGUGGGGGAUGACGGCCUUCGGGUUGUAAACCUCUUUCAGCAGGGACGAAGCGCAAGUGACGGUACCUGCAGAAGAAGCACCGGCCAACUACGUGCCAGCGGCCGCGGUAAUACGUAGGGUGCGAGCGUUGUCCGGAAUUACUGGGCGUAAAGAGCUCGUAGGUGGUUUGUCGCGUUGUUCGUGAAAUCUCACGGCUUAACUGUGAGCGUGCGGGCGAUACGGGCAGACUGGAGUACUGCAGGGGAGACUGGAAUUCCUGGUGUAGCGGUGGAAUGCGCAGAUAUCAGGAGGAACACCGGUGGCGAAGGCGGGUCUCUGGGCAGUAACUGACGCUGAGGAGCGAAAGCGUGGGGAGCGAACAGGAUUAGAUACCCUGGUAGUCCACGCCGUAAACGGUGGGUACUAGGUGUGGGUUUCCUU
rnacentral:rRNA from 1 species